rnacentral:rRNA from 1 species
GCAGAAUUCCGCGAAUCAUCGAGUCUUUGAACGCAAGUUGCGCCCGAGGCUUGUCCGAGGGCAUUUCCGUUAGAGCGUCACC